GGUGGCAGAAUGGUUAAGCACUUGGCUGCUAACCAAAAGGUCAGUGGUUCAAACCCACCAGCCA
rnacentral:tRNA from 1 species